rfam:Pan troglodytes isolate Yerkes chimp pedigree #C0471 (Clint) chromosome 6, whole genome shotgun sequence.
CAAAAGGCCCUUUUCAGGGCCCCCACUUUCUCAGUGAGGAGCACG